AUUGAACGCUGGCGGCAUGCCUUACACAUGCAAGUCGAACGGCAGCACGGGCUUCGGUCUGGUGGCGAGUGGCGAACGGGUGAGUAAUGUAUCGGAACGUACCUUUCAGUGGGGGAUAACGUAGCGAAAGUUACGCUAAUACCGCAUAUUCUGUGAGCAGGAAAGCAGGGGAUCGCAAGACCUUGCGCUGAUUGAGCGGCCGAUGUCAGAUUAGCUAGUUGGUGAGGUAAAGGCUCACCAAGGCGACGAUCUGUAGCGGGUCUGAGAGGAUGAUCCGCCACACUGGAAUUGAGACACGGUCCAGACUCCUACGGGAGGCAGCAGUGGGGAAUUUUGGACAAUGGGGGCAACCCUGAUCCAGCCAUGCCGCGUGAGUGAAGAAGGCCUUCGGGUGGUAAAGCUCUUUCGGCCGGGAAGAAAUCGCACGGGCUAGUACCCUGUGUGGAUGACGGUACCGGAAUAAGAAGCACCGACUAACUACGUGCCAGCAGCCGCCGUAAUAC
rnacentral:rRNA from 1 species